AUUUGGUGCAUGUCUAAUGUCUAAUGUUUGAUCGUUCGUCUUAUUUGAAAAAAAUUAUAAUUAGUAUUUUAUUGUUAUUACAUGAUAAAACAUGAGUAGUAUUUUAUGUGUGACUAUUUUUUAAUUUUUUCAUAAAUUUUUUAAAUAAGACAGACGGUCAAAACACUAAACACGGAUAUCUAUGGCUGCACUUAUU
rfam:Oryza sativa (indica cultivar-group) chromosome 9, whole genome shotgun sequence.